rnacentral:rRNA from 1 species
CGACCGGCGCACGGGUGAGUAACACGUAUCCAACCUGCCGAUGACUCGGGGAUAGCCUCUCGAAAGAAAGAUUAAUACCCGAUGGCAUAGUUCUUCCGCAUGGUAGAACUAUUAAAGAAUUUCGGUCAUCGAUGGAGAUGCGUUCCAUUAGCUUGUUGGCGGGGUAACGGCCCACCAAGGCAUCGAUGGAUAGGGGUUCUGAGAGGAAGGUCCCCCACAUUGGAACUGAGACACGGUCCAAACUCCUACGGAAGGCAGCAG